rnacentral:rRNA from 1 species
UACAGAGGGUGCGAGCGUUAAUCGGAGUUACUGGGCGUAAAGGGCGCGUAGGCGGUAGGAUGGGUGUGGUGUGAAAGCCCCGGGCUUAACCUGGGAAGGGCACUGCAAACUAUGUUACUGGAGUACAUGAGAGGGUGGCGGAAUUUCCGGUGUAGCGGUGAAAUGCGUAGAGAUCGGAAGGAAUGUCGAUGGCGAAGGCAGCCACCUGGCAUGAUACUGACGCUGAGGCACGAAAGCGUGGGGAGCAAACAGG